rnacentral:rRNA from 1 species
CCAGACUCCUACGGGAGGCAGCAGUGGGGAAUAUUGCGCAAUGGGCGAAAGCCUGACGCAGCGACGCCGCGUGAGGGAUGAAGGUCUUCGGAUCGUAAAGCUCUAUCAGCAGGGAAUAGAAAAGAAGGUACCUGAAAAAGAAGCCCCGGCUAACUACGUGCCAGCAGCCGCGGUAAUACGUAGGGGGCAAGCGUUAUCCGGAAUUACUGGGUGUAAAGGGUGAGUAGGCGGCAUGGUAAGCCAGAUGUGAAAGCCUUGGGCUUAACCCGAGGAUUGCAUUUGGAACUAUCAAGCUAGAGUACAGGAGAGGAAAGCGGAAUUCCUAGUGUAGCGGUGAAAUGCGUAGAUAUUAGGAAGAACACCAGUGGCGAAGGCGGCUUUCUGGACUGAAACUGACGCUGAGGCACGAAAGCGUGGGGAGCGAACAGGAUUAGAUACCCGAGUA